rnacentral:lncRNA from 1 species
UGUCUUAUUCAUUCUGUUUAUUGGAUUGAAAGGGAAUACAAACGAUUGGUUAGGUGCUACGCACUGACAUGGAAAAGGUGUAUUUAAAAAAAAAAAAUCCCAUUAAAGCAAAUCAAAGUUAAUGUAGUUUCAAUUGAACAAAAUUUUAAAAGACGUUUAAUAUACUACACAUUUAUAAAAUAAAAGUUAACAAAGGGUGUUUUGUAAAUAAUUAGUAGAACAAGUGAAAAUAAAUAUGAGACCUGAAAUUUUUUAUGCUUUAAUGAAAUAAUAAAGCAAAGAAAUUUAAACUACUAAAUAGAAUCUGAGGCAGUUAAAAAAAAACAAACAGAACCCCCCAAAUUUAAGAACACAAUCCUUUGAAACACUGAAUCAGUCCAUAGCAAAUAGUUAUUACAGACCAAAAGCUCUAAGUGUUAACUAGCUCCACCACAAUGCCAUGGGAAUCUCGACAAGUUAGGUAUCUUGAGAUCAGCACUCAAGUUCUUUCCUUGAUCUCUACAGCUUGGUUUGUAAGUACAAACAUGCUUCUGCGGAUCUUUUCCCCUCGCCACACACACACAUUCAAGGAGCCAAUGACAUCUUUUUCCAUCUGUGCCUAAAAAUGUUACGAUUCGGUUUUAGCACAUUGACCCUGAUAAUGAAAAUGCUUGAGUUAAAGAUGGGGACACAUCUCAAUCUUAUAAAAAUAUACCAGUAUUAACCAGACCCUAAACUCAGAAAGGGCACAUCACACAAGCACGAGACUUAGUAAAAUGACAAGAACCCAGAAAGCAGUUUCUAGGACUCUUUAUGAAUUAAGUUCUCUCUCUCUCCCACACAGACAAACAACACACACACACACACACACACACACACACACACACAAUUUUUAUACUAUUAGUUUCAUUAAAUCCAGCCUAUCUGGAUUAAGUGGACAGGGGACGGGUUUUACAGUUUUUGUUUCUGCAACUAUAGGGCAGCUACUGUAACAAUAGCUUAACACUGAAACUUUCAAUUAAGUUCACCCUGUUUUUAGAAAGUGUCUAAGUGUAAAUAAAUGCAAAUUCACCUCUUCUUUUAAAGUUAGCUGUUUAUGCUAAAUCAGAUACGGUUUUGAAAAUGCAUGUUUUGGAGUGUAAGGCCAAAAGAGAGCUGCUAAAGUCUAAAUGAAAUCUAGAUAUCUGCACAUUUUAGAGAUGGGACACAAAGGAUAUUAAGGAAACUGUCUUCUGUCCUCCCCACUCAAGAGUAGUCAUUCUUCUGCUGUCAGAGAAACUGACACAGAGAUCUCCCUUUCAAGAGGUGUGCGGUAUUGACCGCUGAGCAGAGGUGGUAGGGUCAGUUCUCGUGUGCAGGAAACAACAGCCUAAAAAAGAAAAUUUCAAGAUGGGGGUGGGGUGGGGUGGGGAAGAAGGUUUGCUAUUAAUGUCACAGAACGCUGUUCUGGAGGGAGAACAGAAAGCGCCCUAUUUCUACGAGUGUGAGCUCAGAUGAAAAUACAGACAGAAAUUGGGAUUUUUUUCCCUUUCAACUAGCAGGUGCCUUCCAUCACCUCAUUCAUAUUUAAAGCUAGGUAAGCCCUGCCUGUCCUCCCACCCACUAAAAUGGGCUGGUCUUUGGGGAUGCUUGCAAACCUCCUGUUUAGACUACUUACCUGGUUUAAUGCAACACAUUUACCUGGCCUAGAGUAGAAAUGCAGCUGGUGCAACCACUAAGGAUACCCAGCCCCGGAGGAAAGCUGUGCCAUGCCCACACCUAGCCCCCACCCCCAGCUCUUCAUCACCCCCCCCCCCCCCCAGUCCACCUGAUUCUCACAUCCAACGCUCUACUACCCAUAACCAAGUGUUUGGAGGAAAAAGACAUUUCAUUUCAUACUUGCUCUAGCCCUUAAUCAAUGAAUAACAACAAAAACAUUUUUAAGCACAUGGAAGUGAGCCUACUAACCUGAUUUUUGGAGCCAAAAUUCCCCAGUCUAGUUUGAUCUAUGUGC